rnacentral:rRNA from 1 species
AUUGAACGCUGGCGGCAUGCUUUACACAUGCAAGUCGAACGGUAACAGGCCGCAAGGUGCUGACGAGUGGCGAACGGGUGAGUAAUGCAUCGGAACGUGCCCAGUCGUGGGGGAUAACGCAGCGAAAGCUGCGCUAAUACCGCAUACGAUCUCUGGAUGAAAGCGGGGGACCGAAAGGCCUCGUGCGAUUGGAGCGGCCGAUGUCAGAUUAGGUAGUUGGUGGGGUAAAGGCCCACCAAGCCAACGAUCUGUAGCUGGUCUGAGAGGACGACCAGCCACACUGGGACUGAGACACGGCCCAGACUCCUACGGGAGGCAGCAGUGGGGAAUUUUGGACAAUGGGCGCAAGCCUGAUCCAGCAAUGCCGCGUGCAGGAAGAAGGCCUUCGGGUUGUAAACUGCUUUUGUACGGAACGAAACGGUCCGGGCUAAUACCCUGGGCUAAUGACGGUACCGUAAGAAUAAGCACCGGCUAACUACGUGCCAGCAGCCGCCGUAAUAC